CUCUGCCGGCUACCGCGUCCCCGUCCCCGUGCCCCCAUGCCCGUGCCCGACACUCACGGUGCUUGCCUCCGCCGCCGCUGCCCCCGCUCGGGUAGCUCAGCAGCAGGAAGGGCAGCGGGGAGCCGGGUGACGGCGGGGUCCUCCAGGCGCGCUGCGGUGGCGGGCGCGCUGUGAAGCCCGCGCCUCCAUCGCCCGGGUACAGGAGGAAGAAGGGGGCGGCCACCGGCGAGUCCGGCUCCGAGGGCCCCGCCUCGCCCUCCCGGUCCGCGCCGCGGGCGGCAGCCCCGCGCGGCUCCAGCGGCUCCUCCGGGCGCCGCUCCCCGCCCCUCUCCGGGUCCUCGCCGCAACUUUCGGCAGCCGCGCCGGGCGGCAGGGACUCUGCCAUCUCGCUCGUGGCUUCGCCGUGCAGCCGCCUCUCCAGGCCCGAGCCCGAGCCCGAGGCUCACGGCGAGGAUCGGAUGCCCCGCCGUGCCCGCGCCGCUGCCGUCCGCCGUCCGCCGUCCGCCGCCGCCUGGGCUCCGCGUUCCGCCCGCCCCGCCGGGGCUCGGCCAGCUGAGGACCGCCCCGCCCCGACGGCGCGGCCUGCCCAGCACCGCCUCCGGCUCCCGCCCCGCCCCGCCCCGCCCGGCUCGCCGCCCCCCGCCGCGGCUCGGCGCCCCUAGGGGGCAGCGUCCUCCACGUCCGCCCCGCACCUUCCGCUGGGCUCCGGCGCGCCGAUCCCUCCGGACCCUGCCGGUCAGGGGUUUUGAACCAAGCGGCGAUGUCUGCGUGUAACCGCCAACUUCGCGGGUCACGGGAGAGAGAGGCACAAAGAUCUGAGCUGAAAAGGCCAAUGCUCGUUUUUUUUUAAAAGACCUCCCCCUCUAACCCCCUAAGUAUUAAACUACGGUCUGCUGUUUGCACACUAGACGGGUCCCACCAUCCAGGCCAGGCUGCUAACCUGGCAUUCACUACUGAGACCAGGCUGAACUUAAACUCAAAGAGAUCUGCCUACCUCCAGACUGCUCCAAUCACAGAGGUGGGUCAAGCCUAUCUAACAUGUAACUUUUUUUUUAAAAAUCAAAUAAAAGCAUGUUGAGUUGAAAUGA